rnacentral:rRNA from 1 species
AGCAGUAGCCGCGGUAAUACGAAGGGGGCUAGCGUUGUUCGGAUUUACUGGGCGUAAAGCGCACGUAGGCGGACUUUUAAGUCAGGGGUGAAAUCCCGGGGCUCAACCCCGGAACUGCCUUUGAUACUGGAAGUCUUGAGUAUGGUAGAGGUGAGUGGAAUUCCGAGUGUAGAGGUGAAAUUCGUAGAUAUUCGGAGGAACACCAGUGGCGAAGGCGGCUCACUGGACCAUUACUGACGCUGAGGUGCGAAAGCGUGGGGAGCAAACAGGAUUAGAUACCCCAGUAGUCCCUGUCUCUUAUAC